rnacentral:rRNA from 1 species
GACGAACGCUGGCGGCGUGCUUAACACAUGCCAGUCGAACGAAGAGCGAUGGAAGCUUGCUUCUAUCAAUCUUAGUGGCGAACGGGUGAGUAACGCGUAAUCAACCUGCCCUUCAGAGGGGGACAACAGUUGGAAACGACUGCUAAUACCGCAUACGAUCUAAUCUCGGCAUCGAGGAUAGAUGAAAGGUGGCCUCUACAUGUAAGCUAUCACUGAAGGAGGGGAUUGCGGCUGAUUAGCUAGUUGGAGGGGUAACGGCCCACCAAGGCGAAGAUCAGUAGGCGGUCUGAGAGGAUGAACGGCCACAUUGGGACUGAGACACGGCCCAGACUCCUACGGGAGGCAGCAGUGGGGAAUCUUCCGCAAUGGACGAAAGUCUGACGGAGCAACGCCGCGUGAGUGAUGACGGCCUUCGGGUUGUAAAGCUCUGUUAAUCGGGACGAAAGGCCUUCUUGCGAAUAGUGAGAAGGAUUGACGGUACCGGAAUAGAAAGCCACGGCUAACUACGUG